ACGAACGCUGGCGGCAUGCCUAACACAUGCAAGUCGAACGAGACCUUCGGGUCUAGUGGCGCACGGGUGCGUAACGCGUGGGAACCUGCCCUUAGGUUCGGAAUAACUCCCCGAAAGGGGUGCUAAUACCGGAUAAUGUCUUCGGACCAAAGAUUUAUCGCCUUUGGAUGGGCCCGCGUUGGAUUAGCUAGUUGGUAGGGUAAAAGCCUACCAAGGCGACGAUCCAUAGCUGUCUGAGAGGAUGAUCAGCCACACUGGGACUGAGACACGGCCCAGACUCCUACGGGAGGCAGCAGUGGGGAAUAUUGGACAAUGGGCGAAAGCCUGAUCCAGCAAUGCCGCGUGAGUGAUGAAGGCCUUAGGGUUGUAAAGCUCUUUUACCCGGGAUGAUAAUGACAGUACCGGGAGAAUAAGCUCCGGCUAACUCCGUG
rnacentral:rRNA from 1 species